AUGAAGACUGCAGGAGAGUGGUUAUUAAUCAAAUUUUAACAUUUGAUUAGCAUAACUCGCCGAAGAAUUAACUAUUUCAGGUGCUACCUAGGUAGCGGGGACUGUAGUUGGAGG
rnacentral:ncRNA from 1 species